rnacentral:misc_RNA from 1 species
GGAAGUAAAGUCGUAACAAGGUUUCCGUAGGUCAACCUGCGGAAGGAUCAUUCAUAAUAAAGUGUUUUAUGGCACUUUUUAAAAAUCCAUAUCCACCUUGUGUGCAAUGUUAGAUCUCGUCAAUCUUGGCGAGAUUUUUAUACAUCAACUCAUUCUUUAACUAAUUUGUCUGAAAAAUAUUAUGAAUACUUAAUUCAAAAUACAACUUUCAACAACGGAUCUCUUGGCUCUC